rnacentral:rRNA from 1 species
AUUGAACGCUGGCGGCAGGCCUAACACAUGCAAGUCGAGCGGUAACAGAUUGAUAGCUUGCUAUCAAUGCUGCCGAGCGGCGGACGGGUGAGUAAUGCCUGGGAAUAUACCCUGAUGUGGGGGAUAACUAUUGGAAACGAUAGCUAAUACCGCAUAAUCUCUUGUCUUUUACGAGAUGGGAGCAAAGAGGGGGACCUUCGGGCCUCUCGCGUCAGGAUUAGCCCAGGUGGGAUUAGCUAGUUGGUGGGGUAAUGGCUCACCAAGGCGACGAUCCCUAGCUGGUCUGAGAGGAUGAUCAGCCACACUGGAACUGAGACACGGUCCAGACUCCUACGGGAGGCAGCAGUGGGGAAUAUUGCACAAUGGGGGAAACCCUGAUGCAGCCAUGCCGCGUGUAUGAAGAAGGCCUUCGGGUUGUAAAGUACUUUCAGUUGUGAGGAAGGCGUUGGAGUUAAUAGCUUCAGCGCUUGACGUUAGCAACAGAAGAAGCACCGGCUAACUCCGUG